AGUGUAGCUCAGUGGUUGAGUGCUUGCCUAGCAUGUGCGAGAGGGCCUGGGUUCAGUUCCCAGCACU
rnacentral:tRNA from 1 species